UACGUAGGGCGCAAGCGUUAUCCGGAAUUAUUGGGCGUAAAGAGCUCGUAGGCGGUUUGUCGCGUCUGCCGUGAAAGUCCGGGGCUUAACUCCGGAUCUGCGGUGGGUACGGGCAGACUAGAGUGCAGUAGGGGAGACUGGAAUUCCUGGUGUAGCGGUGAAAUGCGCAGAUAUCAGGAGGAACACCGAUGGCGAAGGCAGGUCUCUGGGCUGUAACUGACGCUGAGGAGCGAAAGCGUGGGGAGCGAACAGG
rnacentral:rRNA from 1 species